UACUGGGAGAAUAAGGAUCGGCUAACUCCGUGCCAGCAGCCGCGGUAAUACGGAGGAUCCGAGCGUUAUCCGGAUUUAUUGGGUUUAAAGGGUGCGUAGGUGGCCCAUUAAGUCAGUGGUGAAAGACGGCAGCUCAACUGUCGCAGUGCCUUUGAUACUGAUGGGCUUGAAUAUUGAUGAAGAUGGCGGAAUGAGACAAGUAGCGGUGAAAUGCAUAGAUAUGUCUCAGAACACCGAUUGCGAAGGCAGCUAUCUAAGCAAUGAUUGACGCUGAUGCACGAAAGCGUGGGGAUCAAACAGGAUUAGAUACCCUGGUAGU
rnacentral:rRNA from 1 species